GGAAUUCUGUUUCAUAAUAUCAAGUGCUUUAAACAUAUUUAACAGGCUUCCCAAAUCAAACCCCAGUUUCAAAAUUGUCUUUCCUGACGCCUGACAUCAGAUACUUCAGAGGACCCCUGGAAUGUCCAGAAAAGAGAGGUCCAGGAGCUCCAAGUUUAUCUUGGGACCUUAUGAGGAGAGGAUGACCCCACUCACAGGUAUUUGGGGAUACUAACCCAUGGCUGGGCUCAGUUUUAAAAUACCUUAUCUGAGACUCCUUGUGGAACAAAGUUCCAUCAAAGACAAUCCAAAAGGCCUAUGUAGAAAUGAUUAUUCUUGCUGUACUUUAUGCAAAUAAUCAGGCCAAGUAUAAAACCAAAGUCUAUUUUUCAAACAACUCAGUCCCAUUAUGAUUUGUUUUUUUUAAACAAACAUGAGGACUGGAGAGAGUAAAAUUAUAUUCCAAACCUUCUCAUACAUUUGUCAUUAAAUUCUAAACUAACUAAUUGUUUUUAAGUUUUCUCCUACAUUUUAGACUAAUCCUGCUUGUUCCUGUGAACCAACCAGCAAUCUCUGGCUGGAGCUCAGAAAGAACAAAAGGGGAUGGGUAAUGCAGAAAUCCUGAUCAAUAUUCUAGUUCUGUGCAAUUAUCCUGCAAAUCUUGCCAGGUGAUGGAAUAAAUAGGGAAUAAAUAGGAUCUCAUCACUCAGAGGUUUCCUUUUGGGAAAGUAAGACCCAGGGAGCUAACCAAAGCCAGGCACCAUGCACCCAAAUCCUAGCAAGCAUAACUACAGCUACCAGUUAUCUGGGGGUGUCAUAAGACAUCCUUUCUCACCCUUGUUGGAGGAGGACUUAGUUCCACAGUUUCAUCUUAGCAUUUGGUUUAUGAUAAGGAGUCCAUGCAACUUCCCCCAAGACACAUUUUUGUCCUAGACUCAAUUACAGGCUUUGGGUUAAAGCCCUAGAAAGAAAAUUGGAUAUAAAGGAUCCAGACGCAGACAACAACAUAGGUUAAAAGGCACAGCACAGGUGAGCAUGGCUGACUCCUGUUGAUUAAGCCAACCCCAAACUUCCUGUUUCAUGGAUAAAGGCCACAUUAAUGAGGUCUAGGGCACUCCAAGGCUACUGACAGUAGCAGUGAUAGAGGCAUAGGUGAGAGCAGAUAAUUCCUAUUCUCUAGGCCUUCCCUGCUUCAUGUGUGCAAGCUGCUUUGGCACUCAUGGUGGGACCUGCCUAGGUCACAGGGACUUGGAGAUGCAAAGAUGGAAGAGGAAAAGAGGACACUUUUCCUUUUCUCCCUCAUGUACCCCAGGUAUAUGCCAGGAAGAAAAGGGAGCCAGGGAUGCCUGCUCCCCUCUUUCUAGAUGGGUAGCUAUUAAUCUUCAGUAUGUACCCCUUUUGAAUACAUCCUGAACCCUGGGGACUCCCUUAAAAAAAUGCCUUUUUGAGCUUACCCUUCCUAUUGUUUGGUUUUGAUACAUGUUUUCUAAUAACCCGGUUUGUCUGUUCUUGCCUUCAGGCCAUCAAACUUCAAAUGGUCAUGCAACCGGAGCCUCUGACGAUGGCCCCUUCUGCUGGGAACCCUUAAAUAGGCCUCUGAGGAAGCUCUGACUGCCAUUUCCCCAAAAGCUCUGACUGCCGUUUCCCUGUCAGCAGGAAGCAGUUAAGAUUAGUCUCCAUCCUUAUCCUUAUUCUAAUGGCAGUUAGAUAUACUUUUUUAGAGCGGAGAAUGAGACAGCCAGGUGGGAGGGGGUCCCUGGAAAAAUUCUAACUGCACUGGGGUGGGGCCUCAGGAAGUUCACGCAUUUUGCAGCAGGGAGGAGCCUGGCCCCUCCUCUUCCUGCAUGGAAACUGGGAUUCAAGCAAGGGCUCUGGCCUUGCAAAAGAUCCCUGUUUCUCUCCUUCUUUUCCCUUUUCACCCAAAAAAACCCUGUCUUAAUCACACUUCAAACCAUUUGCUAGCCUAAAUUUUCAUGGUCAUGGGACAGACAAGGACCCAGUCUUUAGCUGAACUAAGGAAAUGUCCUGAAACAGUAAUAUGAAUCUAUACAUGUGAUAAAUGACAUAGAGCCAUAGUGUACAUAUUGUGCCAAUGUCAAAUUCCUAAUUUUGAUAUUGUGCUAUAAUUAUGUAAGGUAUAACCAUUGGGGAAAACUGGCAAGGGGUACAUGGAUUCCCUCUGCCCUACCUUCGAAACUCCCUGUGAAUCUAUUCUUUUUUUUUUUUUUAAUUAUACUUUAAGUUCUAGGGUACAUGUGCACAAUAUGCAGGUUAGUUACAUAUGUAUGCAUGUGCCAUGUUGGUGUGCUGCACCAUUAACUCGUCAUUUACAUUAGGUAUAUCUCCUAAUGCUUUCCCUCCCCGCUUCCCCCACCCCACAACAUGCCUCGAUGUGUGAUGUUCCCCUUCCUGUGUCCAAGUGUUCCCAUUGUUCAAUUCCCACCUAUGAGUGAGAACAUGCAGUGUUUGGUUUUUUGUUCUUGUGAUAGUUUGCUGAGAAUAAAAAGGUAAAAAAGAAUUCAGGUCAAAGUUACUUGUUCACAGUCUAUGGAGGAGAUUCAGUUGAUUCCUUGAGCAGCAUCAGUAGCCUUGAACAACAGGACAGAGUCAAUCUUAUGAAGAGUGGCCUGAAAAGUUUCAUCAUAUUGAAUCUUCUCCUGCAGAAUUCCUCUAAUGAACUAUUAAACUACAAGAGGACACAUAGCAAAAGGCAGAUUUCAAAUAUAUUUUAUAAGUUUGUUGUGAAGAUAAAGACAAAAUAAUAAAUGUAAAGCCUUUAAAAACUAUUAAACCAAGUUUAGCAAACUUUUUUUUGUAAAGGAGAAGAGAGUAAAUAUUUUAAGAUUUGUGGGCCAUAUGGUCUCUUUUGUAAAUACUCAACUCUGUCAUAGUCCAAAAGUAGCCACAGAGAAUACGGAAAAGAAGGAGCAUGGCUGUGUUGUGAUUGAACUACAGUCAUGCACCACAUUACAAAGUUUUAGUCAACAACAGGCCACAUAUAUGAGUGUUUACAUAAGAUCAUAAUAGAUCUGAAAAAUUCCUGUUGCCUAAUGAGUCGUAGCCAUCUUAACAUUGUAGCACAAUUCUUUACUCAUGUGUUUGUUUUAAUAUUGGUGUAAAUGUGAAAGGAAAAUAAACCUGGGAGCCCCCAAAUUACUAAGCCAGAGGGUGUCAGGCAAAUCUGUCUCUCAUUUUAUUUUAAAAUAACUACAAAGAUUUUUUUUUUUAAGCUACAUACCUCCCUCACAAUUUGCCCACCACGAAAUUCCUUGUGGGCCUCAAGGUCUUCACCCUGAAACAGUUCUGUUGAAUUUCACCCUGGCAAUGUAAACUGAUAGCUUAUCUUCUCAGGGGCAGGACAAAGGACAGACAUAACUCAAAGUCAUCUCUGCUCACCUGCAUUAUUGGAUUGCUUCCUCUGCCCUAUUGUUUAUGUAAAAAUGCAGAUUCAUUGAGUCAGACUAAGACACAAGUGACUAUUCCUCUACUCUCCUCUUACAUGCAAAUUUUAUAUUCAGUGAAAGGCUGAUUAAGGACCCAAAAAGACCUAAAAGAAUGCAAACUUUUGUCUCUUAUUUACCUAUGACCUGGAAGCCCCAAUUUCUAGUUGUCCCACCUUUCCAGACCAAACCAAUGUACAUCUUACACAUAUUGAUUGAGGUCUCAUGUCUCUCUAAAAUGUAUAAAGUCAAACUGUGCCCUCAACACCUUGGGCACAUGUUCUCAGGCUCUCCUGAGGGCUGUGUCAUGGGCCAUUGGUCACUCAUCCUUGACUCAGAGUAAAUCUCUUUAAAUAUUUUACAGAGUUUGACUCUUUUCAUCAACAUAAACAAACUCAUUGUGCUGCCAGUUGUAAAAAGUAUAGCACACGCAAUUAUGUACAGUACAUAAUACUUGAUGACAAUAAAUGCCUAUGUAAAUGGUUUAUGAAUUUA